UACGUAGGUGACCAGCGUUGUCCGGAUUUACUGGGCGUAAAGAGCGCGCAGGCGGUCGUUCAAGUCGAGUGUGAAAGCCCCCGGCUCAACUGGGGAGGGUCAUUCGAUACUGAUCGACUCGAAGGCAGGAGAGGGAAGCGGAAUUCCCGGUGUAGUGGUGAAAUGCGUAGAUAUCGGGAGGAACACCAGUGGCGAAGGCGGCUUCCUGGCCUGUUCUUGACGCUGAGGCACGAAGGCCAGGGGAGCAAACGGG
rnacentral:rRNA from 1 species